rnacentral:rRNA from 1 species
GUGGUAAUGCCGGAUGUUCCACAUGAUCGCAUGUGAUUGUGGGAAAGAUUCUAUCGGCGUGGGAUGGGGUCGCGUCCUAUCAGCUUGUUGGUGAGGUAACGGCUCACCAAGGCUUCGACGGGUAGCCGGCCUGAGAGGGCGACCGGCCACAUUGGGACUGAGAUACGGCCCAGACUCCUACGGGAGGCAGCAGUGGGGAAUAUUGCACAAUGGGCGCAAGCCUGAUGCAGCGACGCCGCGUGAGGGAUGGAGGCCUUCGGGUUGUAAACCUCUUUUGUUUGGGAGCAAGCCUUCGGGUGAGUGUACCUUUCGAAUAAGCGCCGGCUAACUACGUGCCAGCAGCCGCGGUAAUACGUAGGGCGCAAGCGUUAUCCGGAUUUAUUGGGCGUAAAGGGCUCGUAGGCGGCUCGUCGCGUCCGGUGUGAAAGUCCAUCGCUUAACGGUGGAUCUGCGCCGGGUACGGGCGGGCUGGAGUGCGGUAGGGGAGACUGGAAUUCCCGGUGUAACGGUGGAAUGUGUAGAUAUCGGAAAAGAACACC